rnacentral:rRNA from 1 species
AUACGGAGGGUGCAAACGUUAAUCGGAAUUACUGGGCGUAAAGCGCGCGUAGGCGGUUUGUUAAGUUGGACGUGAAAGCCCUGGGCUCAACCUGGGAGGGUCGUUCAAAACUGGCAAGCUCGAGUGUGGUAGAGGACAGUGGAAUUCCUAGUGUAGCGGUGAAAUGCGUAGAUAUUAGGAGGAACAUCAGUGGCGAAGGCGACUGUCUGGGCUAACACUGACGCUGAGGUGCGAAAGCGUGGGUAGCGAACGGGAUUAGAAACCCCAGUAGUCC